rnacentral:lncRNA from 1 species
UCGGAUGGUAGAAUCCUUAUUAAACUAGGAAAUCCCAAAUGAUAUCUAGGAAGUAGAUAUUGCAUCUCUUAAUAGUGUUACUUGCAGCGCACACCAAUCCUUAGAUUGUGAGGACUCUAAGAUUAUAAGAAAUCUGUUGAUUCCUUACCGAAUUAGGUUUUUGUAUCUUCCAGAAAAAGCAUGGUCAAUCUCCGCCAUUUGAUUUAGGAACAAGAUGAUGGUGGCAUUGCUGCUCCUAUUUUAGCUCCGCAAAAGAGGCUAUUGAGUCUAGGAUUAGAUUUCUGAGGUAUGCGUAUUCUAAAGUCAUUCAGUGAUGCAAAUGGGUGGCCCUUUGCAUCACCGAGUGAAUUCCGCUUUCAGACACACGAAUCUCUGAGCAAGACUCUUCAAUUUUGAUGGUGAGAUUUCUUGGCAGCACCUCUUUAAAUAGCCUUGGCUCUAUUUUUCCAAACCCUUUCUCCUAAGUUCUCAACUUCGCCAUAGAUACUCUUUAUUUCUUUCAUGCUUUAACUUCUAAACCCAAUUUCCGCUUGAAACCUUCCAUGAUUAGGAUUUGUAACCAAGAAAUUUGUCGCAUCCAUAUUCACUCUUAUCAAGAAAAUUCAAAAUUUGGAUAGCCAUAAUCUUUCAACAACUAACCUUGCCUCCUUUAAUGGGUUUGCUUUGCUCCAUAACUGUUGGCAACAUUUUCUUCAGUCUUUAUAUACAGGUUCAACAAGAGGAGACUGUUGAGAUUCUUUAAUGGGUUUUUCUUCAUUGGAGCCCUCAGAUUGAACCUCAUCAGAGUGGAUGAUCCUGGCCAAGUCGACCUUCUUAUCAUCUUUAGGAAUAAUUCUGUGCUAGGGGUAAAUGCAUGUCUCACCCAGAGAAUUGUACUUUUUUGCACUAUUCAAGGGAGUUUGGUGAUAAACAUAGGCUUACGAAUUUAUGAGAAUUGUAACUUUAUUCAAGUUGUUGAUCAUGUUAGAAUAAAGUGCUAGAGCUUUUCAUCCUUUGCAUCCUAAUCAUAGAAUA